ACGAACGCUGGCGGCAUGCCUCACACCUGCAAGUCGAACGAGACCUUCGGGUCUAGUGGCGCACGGGUGCGUAACGCGUGGGAACCUGCCCUUAGGUUCGGAAUAACUCCCCGUAAGGGGUGCUAAUACCGGAUAAUGUCUUCGGACCAAAGAUUUAUCGCCUUUGGAUGGGCCCGCGUUGGAUUAGCUAGUUGGUGGGGUAAAAGCCUACCAAGGCGACGAUCCAUAGCUGGUCUGAGAGGAUGAUCAGCCACACUGGGACUGAGACACGGCCGAGACUCCUACGGGAGGGAGGAGUGGGGAAUAUUGGACAAUGGGGGAAAGCCUGAUCAAGCAAUGCCGCGUGAGUGAUGAAGGCCUUAGGGUUGUAAAGCUCUUUUACACGGGAUGAUAAUGACAGUACCGGGAGAAUAAGCUCCGGCUAACUACGUG
rnacentral:rRNA from 1 species